rnacentral:lncRNA from 1 species
AGCGAUCCGCCUGAUAAUUCCACGUGAAAAAAGAGACGUUUCAACUGUGGCUAGAUACAUGCAGAAACUAAGUCCCAGCCACAAUGGUGAAGGCUUGAAUAGGUGUAACUGGAUUACAGCAAAUAGCGGUGAGAUUCAGUUCAAUUUUAGUCUUUCAGAUGUUAAUCCAAAUAUUAGCACACACAAUAAUAUAUGUAAAUGGUAUAAAUCAUUGUUCGGUUAUGUCAUCUUCGCGUCUCAUACAUGAUCAGCACGCUGCUAUGCAAAGAUUUCUCUAAGGCAGUACAUCAGAUUUCCAGGACAUAAUAGCAUAAACCUUCUCUGUUAAACACAACCACCACAACUAUAACACUUUGUUCUUCCAUAAGAAAUUAUUGAUUUUCCAACUGCCUCAGCUACCUACUAAGAAUAGUAAUGCAGAUUACAAACCAUUUUAUCAGAAGUAGAGUAUUAUAAUUGCUAACUAGAAAGUUGGUAGUUAAUUUCUUUGUUCUUUGUCUGGAUUUAGUAACACAAAGCUUAGUGAACCAAUCAUUGGACUCGAGGUUUCAAUUAUGUAACCACAGCUUAAAAUCAAUGAUAAUAAUGGCACAAUCGCAUACUUUAAUUCAACAAUCCGAAAUAUCAAAUUAAGCAAUUUACAUUAAGACAAAAUUUAAUUCUACCUGCAUUUGACAGUAAUUAAUUUUCAUCUAGUAUGCAUACAUGUAGAUAUAUGUGUGCGUGUGUGUUAGUUUGCGUGUGAAUAUUAACAUCUAGUGACUACAUUUCAACAGAUAAAGUCUAUGUGCAAUUUCACGACGAGUGCUGGGGAAUUCCAGUAUACGACGACAAGUAAGUUACUAUAUGCCUAGUGCUAGUACCAUAUAUUCUGAAUUUCUCAGCCAACUAGUAAGUAAUGGUUAGUUGGUCACAAAACUUGUAAAUUAUGUGACAGUCAGCUGUUUGAACUUCUUGCAAUGUCUGGCAUGCUGAUGGAUUUUAACUGGACUGAGAUUCUGAAGAGGAAAGAUCUAUUCAGGUCAAAUCUCGUGUUUCUUGAUAUAGGUACAUUUUUAUACAGACUCUAUUUCAUAUAUAAAUGUUUAUCGAGGAAAACCUGAAUUAUGCAGAGAAGCAUUCGUGGGAUUUGAUCCAUCAACUGUUGCCAAAAUGGGAGAAAAAGAGAUCAUGGAAAUAUCCUCCAACAAAGCCAUUAUGUUAGCAGAAAGCAGAGUCAGAUGCAUUGUAGACAAUGCAAAAUGCAUCGAAAGGGCAAGUCUCAUUAUAAAUUAGAUAAUGAAUUAUAAAAUAAAGGAUGAAUAUGAGUAAAAUUAAUAUGUUAUCUAUAUUCUUUAUGUAGAUUGUGAAGGAGUAUGGAUCUUUCAGUGGCUAUAUAUGGGGAUAUGUGGAUUACAAACCAGUGAUUAACAGAUUCAGAUAUCCGAGAAACGUACCUCUGAGAUCACCAAAAGCAGAAGCCAUCAGCAAGGACUUGUUGAAGAGAGGGUUUCGAUUUGUUGGACCUGUGAU